rnacentral:rRNA from 1 species
CAAUAGCGUAUAUUAAAGUUGUUGCGGUCAAAAAGCUCGUAGUUGGGUUUCUGUUGAGAGCGACCGGUCCAUACCAUGUAUGCGUAUCUGGCUUGCUCUCGGCAUCCUCUCGAUAGACGUUACUGCGCUUGAUUGCGUGGUGCGGAUCUCGGGACUUUUACUUUGAGGAAAUUAGAGUGUUCACGGCAGGCUUUCGCCAGAAUACAUUAGCAUGGAAUAAUACUAUAGGAUCUUGGUUCUAUUUUGUUGGUUUCUAGAAUUGAGAUAAUGAUUAAUAGGGACAAUUGGGGGCAUUCGUAUCAACACGUCAGAGGUGGAAUUCUUGGAUUGUGUUGCGACGAACUACUGCGAAAGCAUUUGCCAAGGAUGUUUUCAUUGA